CCCGGCCCCCAGCCGGCAAACUGCUCCAGGCCGGUCCCGAUCCCGAUCCCGCCGCAGGCUCCCCCAUGAGGUUGUGCAUAACCAAAACCCCAGCUUUGCUACAGCUACAGCCUCUGAUGAGACAUCAGCAGUGGGACUGGAAAAGCAGAAAACAGGAUCUCAUCCAGAAGAUAACUGCUGCACAGUGCUGCCUCUCCAGAGACUCUCAUCAAGCAGAAAAUAACAUCCUGUUUGCCUCAGCUGCGUAUCAAAUCUGAGCUGUUAAAGACAGGGCUUGAAAACAGCUGUCAUCACUGAAGCUGCAGUGUCACAUAGGAAGAUCUUUGUGGCUGAUGUGUUGUUUUCUUUACCUGAGAAGGAUUCAAUGUAGCGCAGGAGGCCAUGGAGAUGAGCAUCUGGUGAUGUGCAGUACCUCACAAUUUCCAGAAACUCUGGGGCCAGGAAUGAAUCCUGGGGUCAAGGGAAAGAUGAUAAAAGUAACACAAUUAGCCUGUGCAAUUUUUUACAGCCCAGGAGGGAAAUGGACUUUCAGGCAGCCACAGGAAAACAUGCAGUGUCCAGGGAGCAAGGCUGGCAGUCACACUUGGGUUACUUUGGUGGCAGGAAGUGCAGAAUGUUGCUGAUGGGUUUUUUUGGUGGUUUAGGUAUGUUGCCACUUGCUCUGGUUCACGGGUUUCUAAGUGUAACUGGCCAGAUUUAUCCUUAGUGUGAUGGGAAGGAGCUGGGCUCACA